rnacentral:tRNA from 1 species
GCGGGUAUGGCGGAACUGGUAGACGCGUCGCUCUCAAAAAGCGAUUCUUUACGGAAUGCCGGUUCGAUUCCGGCUACCCGCACCA